UACGUAGGGACCGAGCGUUGUCCGGAAUCAUUGGGCGUAAAGAGCGUGUAGGCGGCCAGGUAGGUCUGGUGUGAAAACUCGAGGCUUAACCUUGAGAUGUCAUCGGAAACCAUUUGGCUAGAGUCCGGAAGAGGAAAGUGGAAUUCCUGGUGUAGCGGUGAAAUGCGCAGAUAUCAGGAAGAACACCAAUGGCGAAAGCAGCUUUCUGGGACGGUACUGACGCUGAGACGCGAAAGCGUGGGGAGCGAACAGG
rnacentral:rRNA from 1 species